UACGAGGGGGGCGAGCGUUGUUCGGAAUUAUUGGGCGUAAAGGGUGCGUAGGCGGUUUGGUAAGUCUCUUGUGAAAUCUAUGGGCUCAACUCAUAGUCUGCAAGGGAAACUGCCGGGCUUGAGUGUGGGAGAGGUGAGUGGAAUUUCCGGUGUAGCAGUGAAAUGCGUAGAUAUGUGGCGGAACACCGAUGGCGAAGGCAGCCCCCUGGGCUGAGAUUGACGCUCAGGCACGAAAGCGUGGGGAGCAAACAGG
rnacentral:rRNA from 1 species